AUUGAACGCUGGCGGCGUGCUUAACACAUGCAAGUCGAUCGGUAACAGGUGUAGCAAUACAUGCUGACGAGAGGCGGACGGGUGAGUAAUGCUUGGGGAAUCUGCCUAUUAGUGGGGGACAACCCGGGGAAACUCGGGCUAAUACCGCAUACGCUCUACGGAGGAAAGCCGGGGACCGCAAGGCCUGGCGCUAAUAGAUGAGCCCAAGUCGGAUUAGCUAGUUGGUAGGGAACGGCCUACCAAGGCGACAAUCCGUAGCUGGUCUGAGAGGACGACCAGCCACACCGGAACUGAGACACGGUCCGGGACUCCUACGGGAGGGCAGCAGUGGGGAAUAUUGGACAAUGGGGCGAACCCUGAUCCAGCGACGCCGCGUGGGUGAAGAAGGCCUGCGGGUUGUAAAGCCCUUUCGGUGGGGAAGAAAAGUCUCGACCUAAUACGUCGGG
rnacentral:rRNA from 1 species